rnacentral:rRNA from 1 species
AGGGGUAGCUAUGGCUUCGGCCAGGCGACGACCGGCGCACGGGUGAGUAUCGCGUUUGUUGCCCACCUCUGAGGGGAGGAUUCCCCGAACAAUUUCGAAUCACUACUCCAUAAUAUUCCGGACUCGCGUCUGCUCGUGGCUAACUCCCCUCCGGUCAGAGAUGGGCUUGCUUGACAUUACCUUGUUGGUGAGGUAACCUCUCAUCUGGGCUACCAUGUCUAGGGGGUCUGAAAGGAUGGACCCCCAGGCUGGGACUGACAGACGGACCCCACUCCUACGGGAGGCAUCUCUGAGGAAUAUUGGUCAAUGGCCCAAACCCUGAGCCGGCCAUGCCGCGUGAAGGAUGACAGCCCUAUGGGUUGUAAACUUCUUUUGUACGGGAAGAAACGCUUCUACGUGUAGAGGUUUGACGGUACCGUACCAAUAAGCAUCGGCUAACUCCGUGCCAGCAGCCGCGGUAAUACGGAGGAUGCAAGCGUUAUCCGGAUUUAUUGGGUUUAAAGGGUACGUACGCGGGAGCUUAAGUCACUGGUGAAAUCCUGCAUCUUAACUGUACAACUGUCAUUGAUACUGGGCUUCUUGAAUGUAGUUAAGGUAGGCGGAAUGUGUAAUGUACCGGUGAAAUGCUUACAUAUUACACAGGACACCGAUUGCGAAGGCAGCUUACUCAUCUAGCGAUCAGAUGCUGAGGUAGGAAAGCGUGGGGAGCGAACAGGAUUAGAUACCCUGGUAGUGCACGCUGUAAUACGAUGAUCACUCUUUGUUGGCCAUACACCGUCCGCGACUCGAGCGAAAGCAUUAAGUGAUCCACCUGGGGAGUACGACCGCAAGGUUGAAACUCAAAGGAAUUGACGGGGGCCCGCACAAGCGGAGGAACAUGUGGUUUAAUUUGAUGAUACGCGAGGAACCUUACCUGGGAUUAAAUGUAGAAGGACGGACCGGGAAACUGGUCUUUUUUCGGACGGUUUGCAAGGUGUUGCAUGGCCUUCGUCAGCUCGUGCCGUGAGGUGUCGGGUUAAGUCCCAUAACGAGCGCAACCCUCAUCAUUAGUUUCCAGCGGGUAAUGCCGGGGACUGUAAUGAAAUCCCCGGGGUAAACCGAGAGGAAGGCGGGGACGACGUCAAGUCAGCACGGCCCUUACGUCCAGGCCUUCACAGCUGUUACAAUGGUCGGUACAAAGGGCAGGUACAUGGCGACAGGAUGCUAAUCUGGAAAACCGAUAUCAGUUUGGAUUGAAGUGUGCAAAUCGAAUUGGGGAAGUUGGAUAUUCUCGUAAUCGUGCAUCAGCCAUGGCGCGGUGAAUACGUUCCCGGCCCUUGUACACACCGCCCGUCAAGCCAUGGAAGC